AUGCAGAGGGAGUCAGUACUUUUAUGAAUAUACAUCGUGCUAUUUGCUGUUUCCCGUAAAGAAAUAUCUCUUAAUGUGAUCUCCCACAUUUUCGAAGCAAAAAGGUUGUCACUCCUGUGAAAGUCAGGAUGCAUCAAAGCAAUCUUCACAGCAUUUGUCGCUCCAACGAAGCGAGACAAGAAGUUUCUCCAUGGAUUAUAGGCAAUUUUUCAGGAACAGAAAAUAGACAUUCUUCUCUGGAGGAUUUUCUCUGACCAAAGUGGCAUCAAAGAAUAGAUAUCCUUAAUAAGAACUGGCGACUAGGAAAACAUUGGACAUAGAUGUUAUCAUGCCAAGGAGAGUGCUGUGAGCCUGGCCCAACUAGAGAAUCUGUGCAAACAGCUGUAUGAAACCACAGACACAACCACUCGACUCCAGGCAGAGAAAGCCUUGGUUGAAUUUACCAACAGCCCUGAUUGCCUGAGCAAGUGCCAGCUACUCC
rnacentral:sRNA from 1 species